rnacentral:rRNA from 1 species
GAUGAACGCUGGCGGCGUGCCUAAUACAUGCAAGUCGAGCGAACAGACGAGGAGCUUGCUCCUCUGACGUUAGCGGCGGACGGGUGAGUAACACGUGGAUAACCUACCUAUAAGACUGGGAUAACUUCGGGAAACCGGAGCUAAUACCGGAUAAUAUAUUGAACCGCAUGGUUCAAUAGUGAAAGACGGUUUUGCUGUCACUUAUAGAUGGAUCCGCGCCGCAUUAGCUAGUUGGUAAGGUAACGGCUUACCAAGGCAACGAUGCGUAGCCGACCUGAGAGGGUGAUCGGCCACACUGGAACUGAGACACGGUCCAGACUCCUACGGGAGGCAGCAGUAGGGAAUCUUCCGCAAUGGGCGAAAGCUUGACGGAGCAACGUCGCGUGAGUGACGAAGGUCUUCGGAUCGUAAAACUCUGUUAUUAGGGAAGAACAAAUGUGUAAGUAACUAUGCACGUCUUGACGGUACCUAAUCAGAAAGCCACGGCUAACUACGUG